UACGUAGGGUGCAAACGUUAAUCGGAAUUACUGGGCGUAAAGCGUGCGCAGGCGGCUUUGCAAGACAGAUGUGAAAUCCCCGGGCUUAACCUGGGAACUGCAUUUGUGACUGCAUGGCUGGAGUGCGGCAGAGGGGGAUGGAAUUCCGCGUGUAGCAGUGAAAUGCGUAGAUAUGCGGAGGAACACCGAUGGCGAAGGCAAUCCCCUGGGCCUGCACUGACGCUCUUGCACGAAAGCGUGGGGAGCAAACAGG
rnacentral:rRNA from 1 species